AUGGCCGGGAAGAAGCGCAAGUCCACCGAGAAGCAGCCCAAGGGCAGCCGCCUGCCGCUCGGCGCCGACGCCGACGCGGUGGCCGACGCCGGCAAGCGCCGCCGCUCUGGCGCCGCCAAGCGCCACCAGGCCGAGGAGGAGGAGUCCGUGCCCUCCUCCAUCAGCGCCAAGAUCCUCCGCGAGGCCCUCAGGCAGCAGCAGGAGGAGGGCCUCGCCGACUCCCGCCACGCCGCCGCCGCCGCCACACCUGCCGCCCCAGCUGUUUCUGCAGCCCCGUCCACGUCCUUCCCCGUCCCUGCUGCCGACGGCGGCGACGAUGAUGACGAGGACGUCGACGAGUUCGACGGCUUCGACGCCCUGAGCGAGUACGACGGCGGCGUGCCGGAGAUCGACGAGGAGGACGAGAAGGCCCUUGCCGCAUUCAUGUCCAAGGACACCUCCUCCAAGCAAUCGCUUGGUGAUAUCAUCCUCCAGAAGAUCAGAGAGAAGGACGCCACGGUCUCAACAGAAGCACGGCCUGCUGUCAAGUUGGACAGCCGAAUCAUUGAACUCUAUAAAGAGGUUGGCCAGCUCUUGAGCCGAUACACCAGUGGCAAAAUCCCCAAAGCAUUCAAGCGUAUCCCGUCGUUGGAAUGCUGGGCAGAUGUGCUGCAGUUAACUGAGCCUCAGAACUGGUCGCCUAACGCAGUGUACCAAGCAACACGGCUCUUCUCUUCAAACAUGAACGCGAAGAACGCCGUGCGGUUCUACGAAGCUAUUCUGCUGCCGCGCCUUCGCCAUGACAUAAAAACUAACAAGAGGCUCCAUUUUGCACUUUAUCAGUCUAUGAAAAAAUCCCUCUACAAGCCUGCUGCCUUUUUCAAGGGAAUUCUGCUGCCACUCUGUCAGGAAGGAAAUUGCACUCUGCGUGAAGCAGUAAUUAUUGGUAGUAUUAUCCAGAAAGUCACCAUUCCUCCACUCCAUGCGAGCGCGGCAUUAAUGAAACUAGCAGAUCUGGAGUACUGUGGCACCACUAGUUACUUUAUCAAGCUGUUUCUGGAUAAGAAAUAUGCUCUGCCGUACCGUGUACUCGAUGCUGUUUUUGCCCAUUUCAUGCGGUUUCUUGAUGAUGAGAGAAGCAUGCCUGUUAUAUGGCACCAGUCACUGCUCGCCUUUGUGGAAAGAUACAAGAAUGAGUUGGAGAAGAAAGACAAGGAACAGCUCUCACGCUUGUUAGAUAACCAGAAGCAUUAUUUGGUAACUCCAGAAAUCCGCAGGGAACUCCGGAGUAGUGCCAACAGGGGCGAAAAGCCGACCGAUAUGUCGAUAUGUUCACCUGUUUCCGUGAUCACCAAGCCGAUCGAAGAGGACAGGUGGAAUGUUCCGGAAGUGCCUAUGGAGGAAGAUUAG
rnacentral:rRNA from 1 species